rnacentral:rRNA from 1 species
AUGGAUCUAUGGAUCGGGAGCGGUGCUUCAUAUUGUGAUGUGCCACCUCAGUGCCGCCGGGCAUGGGCCAUUGCUCCCAGCGAUGGUGGAGGCUCCCUCCGCCCGACAAAGUGUGGAUCUGCAGGGAGGUGGAAGCUGCACCGGGGAGAAAGGUCAGAUACGAGAGAAGAGAGAUGGGAGAAUAAGGAGAGGAGGCGGAGGUCGGCAGGCGACUUGGGAGACGGCGGCGGCUCAUCAGUGUCUCUGAUGGUAGCGGGGUCGUGUGGUGUCGAGGUGGCAGAAGAAGCUCGGGCGGGGAUGAGAUCCUCCUAUGGAAUCCUCUCUCCUCAUUAG